AUUGAACGCUGGCGGCAGGCCUAACACAUGCAAGUCGAACGCGUGGCGGACGGGUGAGUAAUGUCCGGGAAACUGCCUGAUGGAGGGGGAUAACUACUGGAAACGGUAGCUAAUACUGCAUACCAUCAGAUGUGCCCAGAUGGGAUUAGCUUGUUGGUGGGGUAACGGCUCACCAAGGAGACGAUCCCUAGCUGGUCUGAGAGGAUGACCAGCCACACGGGAACUGAGACACGGUCCAGACUCCUACGGGAGGCGGGGGUGGAGAAUAUUGCACAAUUGGCGCAAGCCUGAUGCAGCCAUGCCGCGUGGAUGAAGAAGGCCUGCGGGUUGGAAAGUACUUUCAGCGGGGAGGCGGUACCCGCAGAAGAAGCACCGGCUAACUCCGUGCCAGCAGCCGCGGUAAUAC
rnacentral:rRNA from 1 species